AACGAACGCUGGCGGCGUGCCUAACACAUGCAAGUCGAGCGAGAAAGCCCGCAAGGGUGAGUAAAGCGGCGCACGGGUGCGUAACACGUGGGUAAUCUGCCCUGAAGUCCGGAAUAACUCGCCGAAAGGCGUGCUAAUGCCGGAUGAGACCACGGGAGCCUCGGCUCCUGCGGGAAAAGGUGGCCUCUGUACACAAGCUAUCACUUCAGGAUGAGCCCGCGGCCCAUCAGCUCGUUGGCGGGGUAAUGGCCCACCAAGGCUACGACGGGUAGCUGGUCUGAGAGGACGAUCAGCCACACUGGAACUGAGACACGGUCCAGACUCCUACGGGAGGCAGCAGUGGGGAAUCUUGCGCAAUGGGCGAAAGCCUGACGCAGCAACGCCGCGUGUGUGAUGAAGGUCUUCGGAUCGUAAAGCACUGUCGCGAGGGACGAAUAAGGGGCGGGCUAACAUCCCGUUCCGAUGACGGUACCUCGAGAGGAAGCACCGGCUAACUCUGUGCCAGCCGCCGCCGUAAGAC
rnacentral:rRNA from 1 species